CUCCGCUCCAUCGCAUGGUGGGGUGGGAAAUGCUUUUGCGGCAUGGGAUGGGGUCGCGUCCUAUCAGCUUGUUGGCGGGGUGAUGGCCCACCAAGGCGUUGACGGGUAGCCGGCCUGAGAGGGUGACCGGCCACAUUGGGACUGAGAUACGGCCCAGACUCCUACGGGAGGCAGCAGUGGGGAAUAUUGCACAAUGGGCGCAAGCCUGAUGCAGCGACGCCGCGUGCGGGAUGGAGGCCUUCGGGUUGUAAACCGCUUUUGUUCAAGGGCAAGGCACGGUUUCGGCCGUGUUGAGUGGAUUGUUCGAAUAAGCACCGGCUAACUACGUGCCAGCAGCCGCGGUAAUGCGUAGGGUGCGAGCGUUAUCCGGAUUUAUUGGGCGUAAAGGGCUCGUAGGCGGUUCGUCGCGUCCGGUGUGAAAGUCCAUCGCCUAACGGUAGAUCUGCGCCGGGUACGGGCGG
rnacentral:rRNA from 1 species